AAUCGAUACUCCCUCAUACACCCGACCACUUCUUGCCAUGGACAGCCUACAUACCGCCGUCGCCAGCUCACCUCCUCUGAGAGCACUACAGUGAGCACAACCGCCCUACAUUUUCUAAUCUAGAAAAUCCCACGAAAAGGGGCAUGAAAUAGCCCCUAGAAGGCGGAUUUAGCAGUAAAGAGGGAUAAUAUAAGCCCCCUUUAAGCUGGCUCUGGGGCACGUACACACCGCCCGUCACACUCA
rnacentral:rRNA from 1 species